rnacentral:rRNA from 1 species
GAUGAACGCUGGCGGCGUGCCUAAUACAUGCAAGUCGAGCGAACGGACGAGAAGCUUGCUACUCUGAUGUUAGCGGCGGACGGGUGAGUAACACGUGGAUAACCUACCUAUAAGACUGGGAUAACUUCGGGAAACCGGAGCUAAUACCGGAUAAUAUUUUGAACCGCAUGGUUCAAAAGUGAAAGACGGUCUUGCUUUCACUUAUAGAUGGAUCCGCGCUGCAUUAGCUAGUUGGUAAGGUAACGGCUUACCAAGGCAACGAUGCAUAGCCGACCUGAGAGGGUGAUCGGCCACACUGGAACUGAGACACGGUCCAGACUCCUACGGGAGGCAGAAGUAGGGAAUCUUCCGCAAUGGGCGAAAGCCUGACGGAGCAACGCCGCGUGAGUGAUGAAGGUCUUCGGAUCGUAAAACUCUGUUAUUAGGGAAGAACAUAUGUGUAAGUAACUGUGCACAUCUUGACGGUACCUAAUCAGAAAGCCACGGCUAACUACGUG